rnacentral:lncRNA from 10 species
CCACCCUCAAUCUGGGUGGGCACCAUCUAAUCAGCUGCCAGCAAAGCCAGAAUAAAAGCAGGGAGAAGAACGUGGGAAGACAGGACUGGUUUAGUUUUCUGGCCUCCAUCUUUCUCCCAUGCUAGAUGCUUCCUGCCCUUGAACAUCGGACACCAAGUACUUCAGCUUUAGGGCUCGGACGGGCUUCCUUGCUCCUCAGCUUGCAGAUGGCCUAUUGUGGACCUCAACUUGUGACAGUAUCUUGUUGUUGAUGGAAUUUUCUUCAAAAUUUUGGCAUUUCGUGCAACAUCAGUCUUGGUGCUCCAUUUUCUUGGAGAAUUUUCAUCCUUUCUUUAUCCUCAAAAGUCUUCUGGAAGGAGUAAGAAGAAGCUGCCUCAGAAACUGUGAAACACAUGCCAUGUUAGUUCUAAUUUUAGUCCCAGAUCACUCAAUUCAGUUGUGCAGAUAAAUGAAUUGUCACAACUAUUUACAGAACCAAAUUGAGAACAAUCCUCUCUUAUCCUCACCUUACCAUCCCGAAUCAAAUCUGCCUGGGAACAAAUCUGGUAUUAGAUGUUUCUUCUUUAGUAUGAAAUCAUGUCAAUAUGUUAACUUUCCACAUAUAUCAAUCUAAAGCUUAUUUCUAAUUAAGCAAUAGCUACAAAUUAAAGGAAUUUAAAGCAUCACUGCACAGGCAGCAGAGGUUUUCUUCUAAGCCGAAACCCUGUGGGAAUCAUAACCCGGAUGAUAUAAUAGGCAGCUUGGAUUUCCUGCUAGGAAACCCGGCUCUAUCAUUUUCAUGGACUGGGCCACUUUAUCCCCAUGUCUGCAUUUUAAACUCUCUUUUAUUCUGAUUGUAGGUAACAAAAUAAAUAUGAAACAAAUUCAUAAACAAUAUUGGAAAAAGCUGUGCAUUUUUCUGAAUUUCAACAAAGCACGUGGCCAGAUCUCUCAAGUUAUUCCAGGGACAGAGUGAUCUGGGGUGGGGAGUUAGGUGGAUUUCUUUCCAGACAUUCAGCCGUAAGUAAUUAGCAGUCAGCCUGGCACUGGGCACCAGGGUCCCUGGGAUGAUGGCAGAGGAAGGCAUGAUUUUCCAAAUUGAUGGAUCUCAUGUCAUUGGGAGGAAUGAGAAACGAAUUGAAUGACAUUGUCACUGUCAUCACAUUUUUACAGAUGAAAUCCAAACAGAUCAUAGUAAACUGCAUGAGCAUGGUGGAGAAGGGACACUACAACAACAUCAUUUGGUCAAGUAGUUAGGGGUUGAUGGGUUGAAGUCUCACCAUAUGUUGACAUUGUUAUGAGAUGGCCAACACAAAUGAAAAAAUAGGCAUGUAUAGUGUCUAGGAAAGGAAGAUGAUAGUCUUCUUUCACUAUUCACAGCUCAGAUCUCGGCAGGAAGUUAGG